rnacentral:rRNA from 1 species
GAUGAACGCUGGCGGCGUGCCUAACACAUGCAAGUCGAACGAAGCUUGACGGAUGAUUUCUUCGGAAUGAAACCAGAUAUGACUUAGUGGCGGACGGGUGAGUAACACGUGAGCAACCUGCCUUUCAGAGGGGGAUAACGGCUGGAAACGGUCGCUAAUACCGCAUGAUGUGUUCGGAUGGCAUCAUCUGAACAUCAAAGAUUUAUCGCUGAAAGAUGGGCUCGCGUCUGAUUAGAUAGUUGGUGGGGUAACGGCCUACCAAGUCUACGAUCAGUAGCCGGACUGAGAGGUUGAACGGCCACAUUGGGACUGAGAUACGGCCCAGACUCCUACGGGAGGCAGAAGUGGGGAAUAUUGCACAAUGGGGGAAACCCUGAUGCAGCAACGCCGCGUGAAGGAUGACGGUUUUCGGAUUGUAAACUUCUUUUCUUAGUGACGAAGACAGUGACGGUAGCUAAGGAAUAAGCAUCGGCUAACUACGUG